UGGCAGGAAAGAUUCACUCGUUAUCACUUUUAUCAUCGUUUCGGAAGGCAAAUAUUUUUGUUUGGCAAUUCCACAAGGGUGCCUUCUGCAAGAUAAAAAAUUAAGGUGCCACAAGGAACAAAAACGCACACAGGACCAGAUGCACGCUACAGGCCACUGGGCACGUACAUUUUCACCUCCGUUGACCUGGGAGCCUGUGAGCCAUGUGCUGAAUAAUAACAAACGCAGAACAGUUCCAAGAGCCAGGCACUAUUUUAAGUGCCUUACGUAUACUCAUCCUUGACAACAAGCUCUUAAGGUCAGGAAAUGGAACCACCUGAGGCAAAAUAACUUGCCUGAGGGGAUGCAGCUAUGGUGACAGAGCUGGAUUUGAACACAGAAGUCUGAUAAACCUCCUAUCAUGUAUCUCUCCCAGAGAAGGUAGCCAAAUCAUGCUGCUUCUCUGGACUUCCUCCACCACCUGCCGGGGUACAGGUCCCAGAGUGCUUCCUUAGAGUUGAACCAAGAGUGCUGACAGCGGCUUUAAUGGUUGUUAGUGGGGCUGAAUGAAAGGAUGUCUAUUGGAUGUUUGCACAGAGUUGCUGCUCAGUGAAAAAGAAAAAGAGAAAAAAGUUCUUGAGCUACAGUGAGACACCCAAAGAGAUGUUAAACAAAAUUCAUGAUUUGUUAAAAUUCCGUAGCAAAACUGGAAGUUUCCAAAACUAGAAUUUCUUUGCCUCAUUAAACUAUGGCUUUCUUCUUUUUAUUCUCCUCAGUAUGAAUUACCUUAUGAGUUUUCUGAUCCCUAAAGUAAAAAAAUAAAAAAAGUUUAUUGUAAAAAAAAAAAAA